ACCGGCUACAAGGAUGGGCAGCUGUUUUCGCAAAGUCAGCCAACCUCUUGCUUCCAAAUGACCCUUAUCCAGAAGUAUCCGUGAGUGCCUCAUCAACAGAAACUAAAGUGGAGACCUACCUCUCAGAGAAAAACGCACACAUAAGAAAAGCCGACCCACUUCAGUACUGGGAAGAACAUCCUAAUCUGUUUCCCUCUAUGGCUGCUGUUGCGAUCCCAGUGUGCCCCCUGUAGCUCUGUGGAGAGUUUUGGAUUUGUUUACAUCUCACCCAACCGCUCACGGCAGAUGGCUGCACCUCUCUAAGCCUGGUUCUGCCGGAGGUUUCUUCCUGUUAAAAGGGAGUUUUUCUGAACACACUCUACCACCAACAAGGACAGCUCACCAGUGGGAACUGAUUGAUAAGACUGCUGAUGUGCUCUCAUCCAUUGAAGAGCUGACCAGAAACGUGAACAGAAAGACUGCACCUGAUGGGAUCCCUGCCAUAACAGAUGUGUUCUGUCCAGUGAAGGCAGUGGAGAAGCCCUACACUAAUCUUGAAACUGUGCCACGCUACUAGAAACCGGCUACAAGGAUGGGCAGCUGUUUUCGCAAAGUCAGCCAACCUCUUGCUUCCAAAUGACCCUUAUCCAGAAGUAUCCGUGAGUGCCUCAUCAACAGAAACUAAAGUGGAGACCUACCUCUCAGAGAAAAACGCACACAUAAGAAAAGCCGACCCACUUCAGUACUGGGAAGAACAUCCUAAUCUGUUUCCCUCUAUGGCUGCUGUUGCGAUCCCAGUGUGCCCCCUGUAGCUCUGUGGACAGUUUUGGAUUUGUUUACAUCUCACCCCAACCGCUCACCGCAGAUGGCCGCCCCUCCCUGAGCCUGGUUCUGCCGGAGGUUUCUUCCUAUCAAAAGGGAGUUUUUCCUUCCCACUGUCGCCAAAGUGAUUGCUCAUAGGGGGUCAUAUGAUUGUUGGGUUUAUCUAUAUACAUUAAUGCUUGUAUGCUUUUCAUUUAUACUUUUGCCUUACUCUUCAGUUCAUAAUAUAAAGUUACUUGAAUGUU